CUAACAGCUUUGGAUUUAUUCUUUUUUUAAUAUAUUUUUAAAAACAAUUUUCUGCCAUUUAAUUUUAGAUUUAUCGAAAAAUAUUGACACAUUAAUCGAUACUAAAAAAAGUCUUGCUCUGUUUUGUUUUUUAACUUCAGUUACCGGUCAUCAGUUACCGUUAGCUUAGUUAGCUUGUUAGCUUUGUGAAAAUAGCGACACUCCAGACUUCAAGUAGCGUUGAACGGUUCAUGAUAAACCCGCACAUUUUGCUGGUUUUAUCACCAUAAAAGUCCAGAAGCUUUAUCACAAGUUACUGAAAGAAAUUAUAUUUGUUUGUAUUGCGGAUUUUGGCCGCACAAAACACAUAAACUGUUUGGAAAGGAGUGCAGGAGGCGGCGCGGCGGCUCCACCCAGGUUGCGACAGAAAUCACAGACAUGGAAACCAACUUAAACCCAAACUGUCUGCAUGACCAGAUACCACUGAAGUGUCGACCAGCAUGUCAUCUUUUCCCCGGUGAGAACAAAACUCUCAGAGCCCAGAGUGACGAACCUGAGCAGGAACAGAGACAGACUGGAGCACCAGAUCACCAGCUCCCAGUUAUAGUGACACUCCAGGAAUGUUUCAUGGACGUGGAGCAACUGGAGGGAGAGAGGUCCUCUCCGCUACGCUGAGCAGGAAGAAGAAGAGCCAUAUAAGGCAAACGCGCACCAAGAAGCUCAGUGUUACCAUGGUGAUAACC